rnacentral:rRNA from 1 species
GAUGAACGCUGGCGGCGUGCCUAAUACAUGCAAGUCGAGCGAAUGGAUUAAGAGCUUGCUCUUAUGAAGUUAGCGGCGGACAGGUGAGUAACACGUGGGUAACCUGCCCAUAAGACUGGGAUAACUCCGGGAAACCGGGGCUAAUACCGGAUAACAUUUUGAACCGCAUGGUUCGAAAUUGAAAGGCGGCUUCGGCUGUCACUUAUGGAUGGACCCGCGUCGCAUUAGCUAGUUGGUGAGGUAACGGCUCACCAAGGCAACGAUGCGUAGCCGACCUGAGAGGGUGACAGGCCACACUGGGACUGAGACACGGCCCAGACUCCGACGGGAGGCAGCAGUAGGGAAUCUUCCGCAAUGGGCGAAAGUCUGACGGGGCAACGCCGCGUGAGUGAUGAAGGCUUUCGGGUCGUAAAACUCUGUUGUUAGGGAAGAACAAGUGCUAGUUGAAUAAGCUGACACCUUGACGGUACCUAACCAGAAAGCCACGGCUAACUACGUGCCAGCCGCCGCAGUAA